GCUGUUGUGGCCGAGUGGUUAAGGCGAUGGACUUAAGAUCCAUUGGGACUUUGUUCCUUCGCAGGUUCGAAUCCUGCCAACAGCG